rnacentral:rRNA from 1 species
CUACGGGGGGCAGCAGUGGGGAAUAUUGCACAAUGGGGGAAACCCUGAUGCAGCAACGCCGCGUGAGUGAUGAAGGUCUUCGGAUUGUAAAGCUCUGUCUUCAGGGACGAUAAUGACGGUACCUGAGGAGGAAGCCACGGCUAACUACGUGCCAGCAGCCGCGGUAAUACGUAGGUGGCAAGCGUUGUCCGGAUUUACUGGGCGUAAAGGGAGCGUAGGCGGACACUUAAGUGGGAUGUGAAAUCCCCGGGCUUAACCCGGGAGCUGCAUUCCAAACUGGGUGUCUAGAGUGCAGGAGAGGAAAGUGGAAUUCCUAGUGUAGCGGUGAAAUGCGUAGAGAUUAGGAAGAACACCAGUGGCGAAGGCGACUUUCUGGACUGUAACUGACGCUGAGGCUCGAAAGCGUGGGGAGCAAACAGGAUUAGAUACCCCGGUAGUC